UACGUAGGGGGCUAGCGUUGUCCGGAAUCAUUGGGCGUAAAGCGCGUGUAGGCGGCCCGGUAAGUCCGCUGUGAAAGUCGGGGGCUCAACCCUCGAAUGCCGGUGGAUACUGUCGGGCUCGAGUACGGAAGAGGCGAGUGGAAUUCCUGGUGUAGCGGUGAAAUGCGCAGAUAUCAGGAGGAACACCGAUGGCGAAGGCAGGUCUCUGGGCCACUACUGACGCUGAGAAGCGAAAGCAUGGGGAGCGAACAGG
rnacentral:rRNA from 1 species